rnacentral:misc_RNA from 1 species
GUGAAUCAUCAAAUUUUUGAACGCAAAUUGCACUCUCUUCGGAGAGUAUGCCUGUUUGAGGGUCAGCCUAAAAAAAAUCGACAUCGUUGCUGUUUCGCGGUGGCGUUCGUCGGAAAUUGGGUUAUCUUAAAUCUUUGGCUUAUGCGCGAUAAAAUUUUUUCUACUUGUCCAUGAAAGCUUCUA